rnacentral:rRNA from 1 species
AUUGAACGCUGGCGGCAUGCCUUACACAUGCAAGUCGAACGGUAACAGGUCUUCGGAUGCUGACGAGAGGCGAACGGGUGAGUAAUACAUCGGAACGUGCCCGAUCGUGGGGGAUAACGAAGCGAAAGACUUGCUAAUACCGCAUACGAGCUACGGAGGAGAGCAGGGGGCCGCAAGGCCUGGCGCGAACGGAGAGGCGGAUGGCAGAUUAGGUAGUUGGUGGGAUAAAAGCUUACCAAGCCGACGAUCUGUAGCUGGUCUGAGAGGACGACCAGCCACACUGGGACUGAGACACGGCCCAGACUCCUACGGGAGGCAGCAGGGGGGAAUUUUGGACAAUGGGCGAAAGCCUGAUCCAGCCAUGCCGCGUGCAGGAUGAAGGCCUUCGGGUUGUAAACUGCUUUUGUACGGAACGAAAAGACUCUGGUUAAUACCUGGGGUCCAUGACGGUACCGUAAGAAUAAGCACCGGCUAACUACGUGCCAGCCGCCGCCGUAAAAC